AUAGUGACUUGCAAGCAACUCAUUGUGCUUUGAUGUCGGACUAUCUAGAUUUCUAAUACAGUGAUGGAAAGCUACUAGGUACAGUCAAAUACUUACAAAGUCUGUAUGUGGAUCAAGAUAGGAUUGACCCCUCUAGAUUGUAGGAGCUGUGUUGUACAAGGUUCCAGCACAUAUUUGGUGAGACCCAGAGAGGGGUUGGUAGCCGAAGAAGACUCGAUGAGACUCUGAGAGAGGAUGGUAGCCAAAGGGGUUUGAUG
rnacentral:lncRNA from 1 species